AUGCUCCAAGAAAUUGUUCAAUUCGCUCUUACAACUCACGCUGCGAAAACAAACUCCAUGUGUGACAACACCUUCACAAUCAGACAUGCCGAGACUCAGGUUGUUGCCGGUCUGAACUACAAGGUGACUGUAGAAGCUACCUGCGGUGGACAGACGAAAGUGUGCGACUUUGUAGUAUUCGACCAGUCCUGGACCAAGACAAGAGAGCUCACCAGUGACCACUGUUCCUCAGGGCACCACCGUAAUGCCUUUGCUGGAGGUAUGUCUCACGCUGACACCACCAGUACCCAGUUCCAAGACGCCAUGAGCUACGUUGCCUCCCAGGUGGACUUGCAGAGCAAUGGAUUGUUCCGAUCCAGCCCUGUACACUACAGCCACUGCUUCCAGCAGGUUGUUGCUGGUAUGAGAUAUGUCUGUGAUGUCACAAUGGGUGAGAACGAAUGCACCAAGAGUGACAACAGAGAUUUGUCCUUGUGUGCCGUGAAAAGCCAGGGAAUGUCCUCCACCUGGCAUGUUGACAUCCUGUCCCAGCCCUGGAUGCCCACCAAGUACACACUGAACCAGCUCACAAUGGUGCACUAAAUGGUUACCUGGGUGACACGGCAACUAACACAUCACACUAAUUUACUAAUACCAUCACCUACUUAGGAUCCCCUGUUGUGAUUUUAGACGACCAUAUUAACCUACUUAAUUUAUUUGUUGUUGCUAUAUUGGUUUGUUUAUUAUUAAAGUUUUUAUACACUU
rnacentral:misc_RNA from 1 species